rnacentral:rRNA from 1 species
UGGUUCACCAAGGGGAACGACGGGUAGCCGGCCUGAGAGGGUGACCGGCCACACUGGGACUGAGACACGGCCCAGACUCCUACGGGAGGCAGCAGUGGGGAAUAUUGCACAAUGGGCGAAAGCCUGAUGCAGCGACGCCGCGUGAGGGAUGACGGCCUUCGGGUUGUAAACCUCUUUCAGUAGGGAAGAAGCGAAAGUGACGGUACCUGCAGAAGAAGCGCCGGCUAACUACGUGCCAGCAGCCGCGGUAAUACGUAGGGCGCAAGCGUUAUCCGGAAUUAUUGGGCGUAAAGAGCUCGUAGGCGGUUUGUCGCGUCUGCCGUGAAAGUCCGGGGCUUAACUCCGGAUCUGCGGUGGGUACGGGCAGACUAGAGUGCUGUAGGGGAGACUGGAAUUCCUGGUGUAGCGGUGAAAUGCGCAGAUAUCAGGAGGAACACCGAUGGCGAAGGCAGGUCUCUGGGCAGUAACUGACGCUGAGGAGCGAAAGCAUGGGGAGCGAACAGGAUUAGAUACCCUGGUAGUCCAUGCCGUAAACGUUGGGCACUAGAUGUGGGGGACAUUCCACGUUUUCCGCGUCGUAGCUAACGCAUUAAGUGCCCCGCCUGGGGAGUACGGCCGCAAGGCUAAAACUCAAAGGAAUUGACGGGGGCCCGCACAAGCGGCGGAGCAUGCGGAUUAAUUCGAUGCAACGCGAAGAACCUUACCAAGGCUUGACAUGGACCGGAUCGGGCUAGAAAUAGUCUUUCCCUUCGGGGCUGGUUCACAGGUGGUGCAUGGUUGUCGUCAGCUCGUGUCGUGAGAUGUUGGGUUAAGUCCCGCAACGAGCGCAACCCUCGUUCUAUGUUGCCAGCACGUGAUGGUGGGGACUCAUAGGAGACUGCCGGGGUCAACUCGGAGGAAGGUGGGGACGACGUCAAAUCAUCAUGCCCCUUAUGUCUUGGGCUUCACGCAUGCUACAAUGGCCGGUACAAUGGGUUGCAAUACUGUGAGGUGGAGCUAAUCCCAAAAAGCCGGUCUCAGUUCGGAUUGGGGUCUGCAACUCGACCCCAUGAAGUCGGAGUCGCUAGUAAUCGCAGAUCA